rnacentral:rRNA from 1 species
UACGUAGGGGGCUAGCGUUGUCCGGAUUUAUUGGGCGUAAAGAGCGUGUGGGCGGCCAGGUAGGUCUGCUGUGAAAACUCGAGGCUCAACCUCGAGACGUCGGCGGAAACCAUCUGGCUAGAGUCCGGAAGAGGAGAGUGGAAUUCCUGGUGUAGCGGUGAAAUGCGCAGAUAUCAGGAAGAACACCCGUGGCGAAGGCAGCACUCUGGGACGGUACUGACGCUGAGACGCGAAAGCGUGGGGAGCGAACAGG